CGAUUUCCAUGUCUAGAUACUUCAACUUGUGUCAACUGUGCCAGUUGAACACUUCCAUCUUACAAAUUAAUGUGCCACGUUAGCGUCAUGUGUUCAUGAGAUAUAGUGAAAACAAGCUAGCACGUUUAGUUAUCAGCUGAGAACAAGUUGAGGUAUCUUGCCUGGUUACACAAACAUUCUUACAAUAACUCGUAUGUAAACUGGGUUUUUUGAAGCUCCAUCGUGUUAGUUUAUUGAAAGUUUUUAACAAAUUGGGUUUCCGAUUUUGGUGGUCUGAGGUUAUUUAUUUGUUGGAACAUCUGCUGGUUGUUACUGUAAUGCUAUAGUGAUAGGAAACCAUAGCAGAAGAUGGAAAAACAAGGAGCAUUUGAGGGGUAAGUGGUGAUGAUGUUAGUAGCUUGUGAAUGUUUACUUUUUAACUUAUCUUGGAGCUAGAACUAGCAAAUUUCAUAUGUUUAAGUUCUAGGUAAGUGGUAAUAAGUCUUCAUGGGGAGCGGAUUGUAUAAAUGAUACUAAUACUUUAUAAAGGAAGUACUGGUUGGAAACUCCAGUGAAUGCCACCUCCUAUUGGAAAAUAAUUAAAGUUUCUAACUUAUAGCUUCUUAUAUAGUGUAUAAAGUCUUGAAAAUUGAUGCAGGAGUUCCAAUUUAACUUAUAGCUUCUUAUAUAGUGUAUUGUCAC
rnacentral:lncRNA from 1 species